AUUGAACGCUGGCGGCAUGCCUUACACAUGCAAGUCGAACGGCAGCACGGGAGCAAUCCUGGUGGCGAGUGGCGAACGGGUGAGUAAUAUAUCGGAACGUGCCCAGUCGUGGGGGAUAACGUAGCGAAAGCUACGCUAAUACCGCAUACGAUCUAUGGAUGAAAGCGGGGGAUCGCAAGACCUCGCGCGAUUGGAGCGGCCGAUAUCAGAUUAGGUAGUUGGUGAGGUAAAGGCUCACCAAGCCGACGAUCUGUAGCUGGUCUGAGAGGACGACCAGUCCACACUGGGACUG
rnacentral:rRNA from 1 species